CGGAGAAUACGCAAAUACAGAAAAUUUUAGUUCCCACCUCCACCAAAUUGCGCAGAAACCAAAGGAAGAAUAAGGAAAAAGGAAAAUAUUGAUCCUUUCUCUCAUUGUUGGCCCAGGAGGUUCAGUUUAAAAGGCUAUGGUUCUGGAUAACAUCUUAUCAUCUCCUCAUCGGAGAUCACCAUCUUUCCGGAAACAAUUCCCGCGGGAUGAGUUGGGUAGUUGGUCAGCACUCAUUCAAAGGCACCGUUUCCUCUUAACAGCUUUGGUUCUUUUGGCUUUCCUUUGCACCAUCUAUCUUUACUUUGCUAUUACUUUAGGCGCCACUGCCACUGGAUCAUGUUCUGGAUUGACAGGAAAACAGCAAGCAUUGUGUCGCAUAGAAUUGGCAAAGGCUUCGGUCAAGGGGAAAAUGAAGUUUUUCUAGCACAUAGACA
rnacentral:misc_RNA from 1 species